AGGUGAUAUGAACCGUUAUAACCGGCGAUUUCCGAAUGGGGAAACCCAGUGUGUUUCGACACACUAUCAUUAACUGAAUCCAUAGGUUAAUGAGGCGAACCGGGGGAACUGAAACAUCUAAGUACCCCGAGGAAAAGAAAUCAACCGAGAUUCCCCCAGUAGCGGCGAGCGAACGGGGAGGAGCCCAGAGCCUGAAUCAGUGUGUGUGUUAGUGGAAGCGUCUGGAAAGGCGCGCGAUACAGGGUGACAGCCCCGUACACAAAAAUGCACAUGCUGUGAGCUCGAUGAGUAGGGCGGGACACGUGGUAUCCUGUCUGAAUAUGGGGGGACCAUCCUCCAAGGCUAAAUACUCCUGACUGACCGAUAGUGAACCAGUACCGUGAGGGAAAGGCGAAAAGAACCCCGGCGAGGGGAGUGAAAAAGAACCUGAAACCGUGUACGUACAAGCAGUGGGAGCCUCUUAAUGGGGUGACUGCGUACCUUUUGUAUAAUGGGUCAGCGACUUAUAUUCUGUAGCAAGGUUAACCGAAUAGGGGAGCCGAAGGGAAACCGAGUCUUAACUGGGCGUUAAGUUGCAGGGUAUAGACCCGAAACCCGGUGAUCUAGCCAUGGGCAGGUUGAAGGUUGGGUAACACUAACUGGAGGACCGAACCGACUAAUGUUGAAAAAUUAGCGGAUGACUUGUGGCUGGGGGUGAAAGGCCAAUCAAACCGGGAGAUAGCUGGUUCUCCCCGAAAGCUAUUUAGGUAGCGCCUCGUGAAUUCAUCUCCGGGGGUAGAGCACUGUUUCGGCAAGGGGGUCAUCCCGACUUACCAACCCGAUGCAAACUGCGAAUACCGGAGAAUGUUAUCACGGGAGACACACGGCGGGUGCUAACGUCCGUCGUGAAGAGGGAAACAACCCAGACCGCCAGCUAAGGUCCCAAAGUCAUGGUUAAGUGGGAAACGAUGUGGGAAGGCCCAGACAGCCAGGAUGUUGGCUUAGAAGCAGCCAUCAUUUAAAGAAAGCGUAAUAGCUCACUGGUCGAGUCGGCCUGCGCGGAAGAUGUAACGGGGCUAAACCAUGCACCGAAGCUGCGGCAGCGACGUUUAUGCGUUGUUGGGUAGGGGAGCGUUCUGUAAGCCUGCGAAGGUGUACUGUGAGGUAUGCUGGAGGUAUCAGAAGUGCGAAUGCUGACAUAAGUAACGAUAAAGCGGGUGAAAAGCCCGCUCGCCGGAAGACCAAGGGUUCCUGUCCAACGUUAAUCGGGGCAGGGUGAGUCGACCCCUAAGGCGAGGCCGAAAGGCGUAGUCGAUGGGAAACAGGUUAAUAUUCCUGUACUUGGUGUUACUGCGAAGGGGGGACGGAGAAGGCUAUGUUGGCCGGGCGACGGUUGUCCCGGUUUAAGCGUGUAGGCUGGUUUUCCAGGCAAAUCCGGAAAAUCAAGGCUGAGGCGUGAUGACGAGGCACUACGGUGCUGAAGCAACAAAUGCCCUGCUUCCAGGAAAAGCCUCUAAGCAUCAGGUAACAUCAAAUCGUACCCCAAACCGACACAGGUGGUCAGGUAGAGAAUACCAAGGCGCUUGAGAGAACUCGGGUGAAGGAACUAGGCAAAAUGGUGCCGUAACUUCGGGAGAAGGCACGCUGAUAUGUAGGUGAAGUCCCUCGCGGAUGGAGCUGAAAUCAGUCGAAGAUACCAGCUGGCUGCAACUGUUUAUUAAAAACACAGCACUGUGCAAACACGAAAGUGGACGUAUACGGUGUGACGCCUGCCCGGUGCCGGAAGGUUAAUUGAUGGGGUUAGCGGUAACGCGAAGCUCUUGAUCGAAGCCCCGGUAAACGGCGGCCGUAACUAUAACGGUCCUAAGGUAGCGAAAUUCCUUGUCGGGUAAGUUCCGACCUGCACGAAUGGCGUAAUGAUGGCCAGGCUGUCUCCACCCGAGACUCAGUGAAAUUGAACUCGCUGUGAAGAUGCAGUGUACCCGCGGCAAGACGGAAAGACCCCGUGAACCUUUACUAUAGCUUGACACUGAACAUUGAGCCUUGAUGUGUAGGAUAGGUGGGAGGCUUUGAAGUGUGGACGCCAGUCUGCAUGGAGCCGAGCUUGAAAUACCACCCUUUAAUGUUUGAUGUUCUAACGUUGGCCCCUUACCGGGGUUGCGGACAGUGUCUGGUGGGUAGUUUGACUGGGGCGGUCUCCUCCUAAAGAGUAACGGAGGAGCACGAAGGUUGGCUAAUCCUGGUCGGACAUCAGGAGGUUAGUGCAAUGGCAUAAGCCAGCUUGACUGCGAGCGUGACGGCGCGAGCAGGUGCGAAAGCAGGUCAUAGUGAUCCGGUGGUUCUGAAUGGAAGGGCCAUCGCUCAACGGAUAAAAGGUACUCCGGGGAUAACAGGCUGAUACCGCCCAAGAGUUCAUAUCGACGGCGGUGUUUGGCACCUCGAUGUCGGCUCAUCACAUCCUGGGGCUGAAGUAGGUCCCAAGGGUAUGGCUGUUCGCCAUUUAAAGUGGUACGCGAGCUGGGUUUAGAACGUCGUGAGACAGUUCGGUCCCUAUCUGCCGUGGGCGCUGGAGAACUGAGGGGGGCUGCUCCUAGUACGAGAGGACCGGAGUGGACGCAUCACUGGUGUUCGGGUUGUCAUGCCAAUGGCACUGCCCGGUAGCUAAAUGCGGAAGAGAUAAGUGCUGAAAGCAUCUAAGCACGAAACUUGCCCCGAGAUGAGUUCUCCCUGACUCUUUAAGGGUCCUGAAGGAACGUUGAAGACGACGACGUUGAUAGGCCGGGUGUGUAAGCGCAGCGAUGCGUUGAGCUAACCGGUACUAAUGAACCGUGAGGCUUAACCUU
rnacentral:rRNA from 1 species